UGUUUAGUUCUGCUUUCUUAUCCGGC
rnacentral:piRNA from 2 species